UACGUAGGGGGCAAGCGUUGUCCGGAAUCAUUGGGCGUAAAGGGCGCGUAGGUGGCGGGACAAGCGUGCGGUGAAAGCCUGGGGCUCAACCCCGGGUCGGCCGUGCGAACUGUUUUGCUUGAGCACUGUAGAGGCAGGCGGAAUUCCGGGUGUAGCGGUGGAAUGCGUAGAGAUCCGGAAGAACACCGGGUGGCGAAGGCGGCCUGCUGGGCAGUAGCUGACACUGAGGCGCGACAGCGUGGGGAGCAAACAGG
rnacentral:rRNA from 1 species